rnacentral:rRNA from 1 species
UGCAAGUCGAGGGGCAGCAUGAACUUAGCUUGCUAAGUUUGAUGGCGACCGGCGCACGGGUGAGUAACACGUAUCCAACCUUCCGUUUACUCAGGGAUAGCCUUUCGAAAGAAAGAUUAAUACCCGAUGGCAUAAUUCUUCCGCAUGGUAGAACUAUUAAAGAAUUUCGGUCAUCGAUGGGGAUGCGUUCCAUUAGGUUGUUGGCGGGGUAACGGCCCACCUAGUCAACGAUGGAUAGGGGUUCUGAGAGGAAGGUCCCCACAUUGGAACUGAGACACGGUCCAAACUCC